rnacentral:lncRNA from 10 species
AAACACUCACUCUCCCACAAUGGGAAGAACCCUGGUGUCCAGAGCUACCUCCUCCUCCCCAGGUCCCCAAGCUAGGCCAGGGAAGUGACUCUGGCUGUUAGCCACAGCCCACGCCUACCCUUGCCCUGUGAUUCAGACACCCGAGUUCAGAGCCAGCCUCCAAGAGUAUCUUACAUCCCAGCGUCUCCUGGAAGGCCGUAUGAUCCAGCACUGGGGAGAGGAGGGAAAUCCCCAGGACUCGAAUGCCCAUCCCACCCUUGGUGUAGUGAGGACUCAUCCUGCUGGAAAGGCCCCUGAAGAACUUCAAGUUCCAAUAUCCCGUUUUUACAGAUGGGGAAACUGACAUGAAGAGGAGUCCAAAGUGACACAGUCAGGCCAGAAAUGUUGCUUCUGAAGUCCUGAGUCCACCUCCUAGCACUGCCAAGCAGUCCACCUGGAGGUGAUGAGAACUUCCAGGCUUUGGUAAUGGACAACUCUGUAUCCCUGGAGCCUUCAUUCCUUUUGGCAUUACAGAACCACAAGAAGUCAUCUAGAAUCAUUGAGAUUCUCAACUCCAUUGGGCAAACUGGAACCAGCAAAAUCUCAGAUAUCUAGAAUUGCCACUGCUUCCUUGACUCUGUGAUCAGUCUACAGCCACAGAAUCCUGAUUCCCUUUGGACAUUCUAGAAUGGCACUUUAAAAAAAAACAACCCACCCAGUGGAUCCUUUCAAAGCA